GCCUUUAUAGCUCAGUUGGUAGAGCGCAUCCAUGGUAAGGAUGAGGUCAUCGGUUCAAUUCCGAUUAAAGGCUCCA
rnacentral:tRNA from 1 species